GAUGAACGCUAGCUACAGGCUUAACACAUGCAAGUCGAGGGGAAACGAUGAGAGAGCUUGCUCUCUUAGUCGUCGACCGGCGCACGGGUGAGUAACGCGUAUCCAACCUGCCUCUGACCAAGGGAUAACCCGUCGAAAGUCGGACUAAUACCUUAUGCAGUCGUCGGAAGUCAUCUGAUGACGACGAAAGAUUUCAUCGGUGAGAGAUGGGGAUGCGUCUGAUUAGCUUGUUGGCGGGGUAACGGCCCACCAAGGCGACGAUCAGUAGGGGUUCUGAGAGGAAGGUCCCCCACAUUGGAACUGAGACACGGUCCAAACUCCUACGGGAGGCAGCAGUGAGGAAUAUUGGUCAAUGGGCGUAAGCCUGAACCAGCCAAGUAGCGUGCAGGAUGACAGCCCUAUGGGUUGUAAACUGCUUUUAUGCGGGGAUAAAGUGAGGGACGUGUCCUUCAUUGCAGGUACCGCAUGAAUAAGGACCGGCUAAUUCCGUG
rnacentral:rRNA from 1 species